UAAAACGUUCAUAUAGCAGUGAACAAGUUAAUCAAAAGAAAUGCUAUUUAAGA
rnacentral:sRNA from 26 species